rnacentral:rRNA from 1 species
AUUGAACGCUGGCGGCGUGCUUAACACAUGCAAGUCGAUCGGUAACAGGUGUAGCAAUACAUGCUGACGAGAGGCGGACGGGUGAGUAAUGCUUGGGAAUCUGCCUAUUAGUGGGGGACAACCCGGGGAAACUCGGGCUAAUACCGCAUACGCUCUACGGAGGAAAGCCGGGGACCGCAAGGCCUGGCGCUAAUAGAUGAGCCCAAGUCGGAUUAGCUAGUUGGUAGGGGUAACGGCCUACCAAGGCGACAAUCCGUGGCUGGUCUGAGAGGACGACCAGCCACACCGGAACUGAGACACGGUCCGGACUCCUACGGGAGGCAGCAGUGGGGAAUAUUGGACAAUGGGGGCAACCCUGAUCCAGCGACGCCGCGUGGGUGAAGAAGGCCUGCGGGUUGUAAAGCCCUUUCGGUGGGAAGAAAAGUCUCGACCUAAUACGUCGGGACCUUGACGUAACCCACUAAAGAGCACCGGCUAACUCUGUGCCAGCCGCCGCAGU